UACGUAGGAUGCAAGCGUUGUCCGGAUUUAUUGGGCUUAAAGGGUGCGUAGGCGGCUUAUUAAGAUAGAGGAGAAAACCCAGGGCUUAACCUGAUACCCGCCAUUGAUACUGAUAGACUUGAGUGCGACAGAGGGUGUUGGAAUGUGUUGUGUAGCGGUGAAAUGCGUAGAUAUCACGCAGAACACCAAUUGCGAAGGCAGAUGCCUAGGACGUAACUGACGCUGAGGCACGAAAGCGUGGGGAGCAAACAGG
rnacentral:rRNA from 1 species